ACGAACGCUGGCGGCGUGCUUAACACAUGCAAGUCGAACGGAAAGGCCCUGCUUGCAGGGUACUCGAGUGGCGAACGGGUGAGUAACACGUGGGUGAUCUGCCCUGCACUUCGGGAUAAGCCUGGGAAACUGGGUCUAAUACCGGAUAGGAGCCAUUUUUAGUGUGAUGGUUGGAAAGUUUUUUCGGUGUAGGAUGAGCUCGCGGCCUAUCAGCUUGUUGGUGGGGUAAUGGCCUACCAAGGCGGCGACGGGUAGCCGGCCUGAGAGGGUGGACGGCCACAUUGGGACUGAGAUACGGCCCAGACUCCUACGGGAGGCAGCAGGGGGGAAUAUUGCACAAUGGGCGCCAGCCUGAUGCAGCGACGCCGCGUGGGGGAUGACGGCCUUCGGGUUGUAAACUCCUUUCGCUAGGGACGAAGCUUUUUGUGACGGUACCUAGAGAAGAAGCACCGGCUAACUACGUG
rnacentral:rRNA from 1 species